GAAAAAAACCCCUCUUUACAAUAUAUCAAAGAUAGAUUCAUACCUAAAUCGAUCGAAAAUCCCUUUUGUAGAUGAAUAUGCAUGUUAGAACUCAGAUCUAUUCUUCUUCUUCUGAUUCCAAACCCUAAAUUGAACAAAACUUGUUUCAAGCAUGUUACCGGAAAUAAAUACCCGUUUUUACUGAGCUUGAAUAAUCUAAUUUCAGAAAAAGAUUGAGGUACAGACACCUAGAAGAUUCAGAGAAGAUUCAGGUUGAUUGCUUUCAUGCACUGCGGAGGAUCGAGCCUUUUCAAGCAAGGACUUUCUUCGUUUGUAAGCAUCCACUUGAAAUGUUCUUUCUGCGUACGUCUUGGUCCCUCUCGUCCUAACGGUUUGAUGACAUAAUUAUCAUACAAUUACAUCCCUGCUUCUUUCUCGAAAACCAACCAAAUUAUACCCCUGCUUGCUGGUGUAGUUUAAUAACAAUUACCAACAUAUUUAUGCGAUUAUGCAAAAGUUCAGAAUUUGUGUUGUCAAGUCAUGGAGUGUUAUCAUCCGCUCUUUUCUAGGGUUUACUACCUGAAGCAUGCAUUCACGAUGAAGUGUUACUCUCAGCUUUCCUCAAUCAGUUAUCAACAGUCUCGCCUGGUCUAUUACCAAAUUUGUCCGUUUCCGUUCGUGAGAUACAAGAAAAAUCCAGGUGGUUGAGUUGCAGCAAAGAAAAUAUGGAGAGUAAAAAAAAUGACUUGCUUUAUUUACGUGCAUUGUGGAUUUUAUCUAUAUGUUGAGCACCUGUAAUUUUCAACUCGUCCUUAGGAUUUCAACUCAGAUGCGGUGUUUGGCUUCAACCAGUUCAACCUCGCUUUCUCAAGAUUCAGUAUAUGCGCUAUUUGCAGCGGGUUCAUCUAGAACUCAACAUACCUGUCGAGGAACAAGAUUUGUUGUUAGAGAUGAAAGUGUGAGCGUUGAUUUACUUUUUACUCUUCCUUUGGGCCAGUGCACUUCUCCAAAAGGAUCUCGAUAAUGCUAAAGCAAGCAUAGAGGUCCUUAUUACUGAUAAUUCUUAAAGGACCAGGUGAUGAUAACAAAGGUCAUCAUCACUUUGUUGUACAACUGGGAUGUUUACCAGCGCAGGAUUAAACAGGUUACUGCUAUUGCUGUCAGAGACUCGCGAAGUUUUCUAUUGCUUAACCUUCACGUAGUUACCCUAGUCAGAGGUCUGGUAUGAUUGCACACUAAGAACUUUUUACACUUAAACUUUAUUUUUCUAUUGUAAUCAAAGUUGUCUUGUGUAAAUGGAAGGAACUACAUAUGGGAGUUUAGAGGACCCCAAAGUCGGACUCAACAAGAUUUCCGUCAUUGUUGGUCUUCCGUUGAGGCCAAAGAAAAAGAUCAAGUAGAUGCAAUCCUAAAAAUUUUGGUGGGUGCAGAGCCAGAGAAUUUGUUUUCUAGCAUCUUAAUUGGUGCAAAAGCUAAGCCUUUGAAGCAACCCAAGGCACAACAUAAAGAAUAUGAUGAGACUGACUUGGCAAAUCUUCAGAAGAAGAAAAGGGAAACUUUAUGUUAGGUGGUGCUGGACUAAAGAGAAGUGGAAAGAUCGGAACAAGAUGCUCCAUAAAGGUGGCAUUAUAAGGAAAUCAAGAUGACAGAGUUGGAUAAGCAUAAUGAUUUGAGUGAAAAAGUUGUCGGUAAUUUCUUAAGUUCUUGUAGAAAAUGUAUCCACUGCAUAUGCAUGGUGAAGUCCGGUGACAUUGAUUGAACAAGAAACCCAAAAUAUGCUCAACUUUGAUCCCAAAUUGUAGAGACAGACCUGUCAUCCAUAGUUUAUUUUGUUAAAAUUCAGUCAUCUUACAUCUGUAGUAGUAUUGAUUGAUUGUAUGGAUGGAUACAUAUGUUAUAAUAGAAGUGAUUGAAUAAUGGUUUCAUAUUUGAUUGGGAA